CCUACGGGAGGCAGCAGUGGGGAAUUUUGGACAAUGGGCGCAAGCCUGAUCCAGCCAUGCCGCGUGUGGGAAGAAGGCCUUCGGGUUGUAAACCACUUUUGUCAGGGAAGAAACGGUCUGAACUAAUACUUUGGGCUAAUGACGGUACCUGAAGAAUAAGCACCGGCUAACUACGUGCCAGCAGCCGCGGUAAUACGUAGGGUGCAAGCGUUAAUCGGAAUUACUGGGCGUAAAGCGUGCGCAGGCGGCUUUGCAAGACAGAUGUGAAAUCCCCGGGCUCAACCUGGGAACUGCAUUUGUGACUGCAAGGCUAGAGUACGGCAGAGGGGGGAUGGAAUUCCGCGUGUAGCAGUGAAAUGCGUAGAUAUGCGGAGGAACACCGAUGGCGAAGGCAAUCCCCUGGGCCUGUACUGACGCUCAUGCACGAAAGCGUGGGGAGCAAACAGGAUUAGAUACCCUGGUAGUCCACGCCCUAAACGAUGUCAACUGGUUGUUGGGAGGGUUUCUUCUCAGUAACGAAGCUAACGCGUGAAGUUGACCGCCUGGGGAGUACGGCCGCAAGGUUGAACGUCGAAAGGAAGUUGACGG
rnacentral:rRNA from 1 species